GAGAGGGGUUGCUGGGAGCUAUGGGUAUGGGGGGAUUGGGCAAAAUUGCUUGGCUUUGUUUAUUAGCAGAGGCUAAAGCUGAUUUUUCCCAAGACCUCCCAUACCAGUGGCCUCCAGCUGUUUCCUCCCC
rnacentral:pre_miRNA from 1 species